rnacentral:rRNA from 1 species
GUCUCUUUGAAGGUGUAAAGAGUCUGGCCUGCCCGCUGAAUUAUUGAAGGGCCGCGGUAUUUCUGACCGUGCGAAGGUAGCAUAAUAAUUUGUUUUUUAAUUGAAGGCUUGUAUGAAAGGUUGGACGAGGGAAAAACUGUCUCUGUUAAAAAACUUGAAAUUAACUUUUAGGUGAAAAGGCCUAAAUAAAUUGGAAAGACGAUAAGACCCUAUAAAUCUUGACAUUAAUCUUUUUUAGUUUUUCGAUUUAUAUGUAAAAGAAAAAGUAAUUUUGAUUGUGUUGUAUUGGGGCGAUAAAAAUAUAGUAUUAUUAACUGUUUUAUAUUAAAAACAAAAAUUCUUGAAUUUAUUAGAGAUCCUUUAUAUAGAUUAAAAGAUUAAGUUACUUUAGGGAUAACAGCGUUAUUUUUCUUGAGAGUCCUUAUCGAGAGAAAAGUUUGCGACCUCGAUGUUGAAUUAAAAUAUCUUUAUGGUGCAGAAGUCAUAAUAGUAAGUCUGUUCGACUUUUAAAAUUUU